GAUUCUGGCUCAGGAUGAACGCUAGCUACAGGCUUAACACAUGCAAGUCGAGGGGCAUCAUGGAGUUUGCUUGCAAACUCUGAUGGCGACCGGCGCACGGGUGAGUAACGCGUAUCCAACCUUCCCUAUAGUAGAGGAUAGCCCGGCGAAAGUCGGAUUAAUACUCUAUGUUUUCCGUUGCAGACAUCUAAGAUGGAACAAAGGCUUGCCGCUAUAGGAUGGGGAUGCGUCUGAUUAGGUAGUCGGCGGGGUAACGGCCCACCGAGCCAUCGAUCAGUAGGGGUUCUGAGAGGAAGGUCCCCCACAUUGGAACUGAGACACGGUCCAAACUCCUACGGGAGGCAGCAGUGAGGAAUAUUGGUCAAUGGGCGAGAGCCUGAACCAGCCAAGUAGCCGUGCAGGACGACGGCCCUAUGGGUUGUAAACUGCUUUUAUGCGGGGAUAAAGUUCACUACGUGUAGUGUUUUGUAGGUACCGCAUGAAUAAGGACCGGCUAAUUCCGUGCCAGCAGCCGC
rnacentral:rRNA from 1 species